rnacentral:rRNA from 1 species
UACGUAGGGACCAAGCGUUGUUCGGAUUACUGGGCGUAAAGGGCGCGUAGGCGGCGUGGUAAGUCACUUGUGAAAUCUCUGAGCUUAACUCAGAACGGCCAAGUGAUACUGCUGUGCUAGAGUGCAGAAGGGGCAAUCGGAAUUCUUGGUGUAGCGGUGAAAUGCGUAGAUAUCAAGAGGAACACCUGAGGUGAAGACGGGUUGCUGGGCUGACACUGACGCUGAUGCGCGAAAGCCAGGGGAGCAAACGGG